rnacentral:rRNA from 1 species
UUUUUCUGGUAGCAAUACCGGAAAAAGUCUAGUGGCGAACGGGUGCGUAACACGUGGACAAUCUGCCUUAAAGUGGGGGAUAGCUCGGCGAAAGCCGAAUUAAUACCGCAUGUGAUGAGGGAAGACAUCUUUCUGAAAUCAAAGCCGGGGCAACCUGGCGCUUUUUGAGGAGUCCGCGGCCUAUCAGCUUGUUGGUGAGGUAACGGCUCACCAAGGCUUUGACGGGUAGCUGGUCUGAGAGGACGACCAGUCACACUGGAACUGAGACACGGUCCAGACACCUACGGGUGGCAGCAGUCGAGAAUUUUUCUCAAUGGGGGAAACCCUGAAGGAGCGACGCCGCGUGGAGGAUGAAGGUCUUCGGGUUGUAAACUCCUGUCAUUUGAGAACAAGGUGCACACAGUAACUACGUGGGCAUUGAUAGUAUCAGAAGAGGAAGGGACGGCUAACUCUGUGCCAGCAGCCGCGGUAAUACAGAGGUCCCAAGCGUUGUUCGGAUUCAUUGGGCGUAAAGGGUGUGUAGGUGGCGCCGUAAGUCGGGUGUGAAAUCUCGGGGCUUAACUCCGAAACUGCAUUCGAUACUGCGGUGCUUGAGGACUGGAGAGGAGACUGGAAUUCAUGGUGUAGCAGUGAAAUGCGUAGAGAUCAUGAGGAAGACCAGUGGCGAAGGCGGGUCUCUGGACAGUUCCUGACACUGAGACACGAAGGCCAGGGGAGCAAACGGGAUUAGAUACCCCGGUAGUCCUGGCAGUAAACGGUGCACGUUUGGUGUGGGAGGAUUC